UGUGCCUGGCACCACAAGGAUCAGCAAAGGAAGACAUAGCCUCUUUCCACAGACCUUACAGUUCCAGACGAGAUAACAUUCACAGGUUCCGGAAAUUACGAUGUCUUCUGGGAGGGGCCAUCAUUCAGCGGACCACACACCCAAACCCUGGUGGAUUAAACUGAAGUCGAUCUGUAAGCUUCCCAUGUGAUUCCAGCUGUGAAAACUACUGAGCUGAGCACCGACUACAGGAAGUCUGGCGGAGGCCCCAGCAAGCCCCCAGUUUCCAAUUUAGGAAGUCUGGCGGAGGC